GAUGAACGCUGGCGGCGUGCUUAACACAUGCAAGUCGAACGGAAAGGCCCAAGCUUGCUUGGGUACUCGAGUGGCGAACGGGUGAGUAACACGUGGGUGAUCUGCCCUGCACUUCGGGAUAAGCCUGGGAAACUGGGUCUAAUACCGGAUAGGACCACUUCUUGGAUGUUGUGGUGGAAAGUUUUUUCGGUGUGGGAUGAGCUGGCGGCCUAUCAGCUUGUUGGUGGGGUAAUGGCCUACCAAGGCGUCGACGGGUAGCCGGCCUGGGAGGGUGUACGGCCACAUUGGGACUGAGAUACGGCCCAGACUCCUACGGGGGGCAGCAGGGGGGAAUAUUGCACAAUGGGCGCAAGCCUGAUGCAGCGACGCCGCGUGGGGGAUGACGGCCUUCGGGUUGGAAGCUCCUUUCGCUAGGGACGAAGCGUUUUGUGACGGUACCUGGAGAAGAAGCACCGGCUAACUACGUG
rnacentral:rRNA from 1 species